AGGAACACUGGAGGAGCUUCACACGAUCCUCUCAUCUUCAGUUCCUGAGCAGAUCGGCCUGUUGUCUCCCAUCUCUGGGGUCGUCAUUGGAACUGCGUCUCACCGUCUUAAGCAACGCAAGGGCACGAGACUCAGAUGAGGAAAUUCUCAGAUGUGACGCCCCUGCGGUUCUGUUUGCUUCCACGGACCUCAGAGCAGCCAUAACUCGAUCCGCCUCCAUCCCAGAGGUGCCAUUCCGAGGAUAG
ensembl:lncRNA